rnacentral:rRNA from 1 species
AACGCUGGCGGCGUGCUUAACACAUGCAAGUCGAACGAGAGGACAAGAGAAGCUUGCUUCUUUGGAAUCGAGUGGCAAACGGGUGAGUAACACGUAAACAACCUGCCUUCAGGAUGGGGACAACAGACGGAAACGACUGCUAGUACCGAAUACGCUUGGGAGACCGCAUGAUCUUCCAAGGAAAGGGUGGCCUCUACUUGUAAGCUAUCGCCUGAAGAGGGGUUUGCGUCUGAUUAGGCAGUUGGUGAGGUAACGGCCCACCAAACCUACGAUCAGUAGCCGGUCUGAGAGGAUGAACGGCCACACUGGAACUGAGACACGGUCCAGACUCCUACGGGAGGCAGCAGUGGGGAAUCUUCCGCAAUGGGCGAAAGCCUGACGGAGCAACGCCGCGUGAGUGAUGACGGCCUUCGGGUUGUAAAGCUCUGUGAUCGGGGACGAACGGUCCGUAAGCCAAUACCUUAUGGAAGUGACGGUACCCGAAUAGCAAGCCACGGCUAACUACGUG